rnacentral:tRNA from 1 species
GCGGAGUUAGUCUAGCCUGGUGGGACGUCAGCUUCCCAAGCUGAAGGUCGCGGGUUCAAAUCUCGCACUCCGCA